rnacentral:sRNA from 20 species
UGUUGGUAGCAUUCGACUCAACAUAGCAAGUUAAAAUAAGGUUUAACCGUAAUCAACUUUUUAGUGGCGCUGUCUCGGCGCUAUUUUU